CUCUAUUUCUAUACCAUCCUGAACUUGCUUGAUCUUGUCUGAUCUUAGAAGCUAAAUAGAAUUGGGCCUGGUUAGUACUUGGCUGAGAGAAUACCUGGUUCCAUAGGCU
rnacentral:rRNA from 1 species